UACGUAGGGUGCAAGCGUUGUCCGGAAUUAUUGGGCGUAAAGAGCUCGUAGGCGGUCUGUCGCGUCUGCUGUGAAAUCUCAGGGCUUAACCCUGAGCUUGCAGUGGGUACGGGCAGACUAGAGUGCGGUAGGGGAGACUGGAAUUCCUGGUGUAGCGGUGAAAUGCGCAGAUAUCAGGAGGAACACCGGUGGCGAAGGCGGGUCUCUGGGCCGAUACUGACGCUGAGGAGCGAAAGCGUGGGGAGCAAACAGG
rnacentral:rRNA from 1 species